rnacentral:rRNA from 1 species
GUGUCAGCAGCCGCGGUAAUACGAAGGGGGCUAGCGUUGCUCGGAAUUACUGGGCGUAAAGGGCGCGUAGGCGGACAGUUUAGUCGGGGGUGAAAGCCCGGGGCUCAACCUCGGAAUUGCCUUCGAUACUGGCUGUCUUGAGUACGGGAGAGGUGUGUGGAACUCCGAGUGUAGAGGUGAAAUUCGUAGAUAUUCGGAAGAACACCAGUGGCGAAGGCGACACACUGGCCCGUUACUGACGCUGAGGCGCGAAAGCGUGGGGAGCAAACAGGAUUAGAUACCCUGGUAGUCC